rnacentral:rRNA from 1 species
AUUGAACGCUGGCGGAAUGCUUUACACAUGCAAGUCGAGCGGCAGCGCGGGGCAACCUGGCGGCGAGCGGCGAACGGGUGAGUAAUGCAUCGGAACAUGUCCAUUCGUGGGGGAUAGCCCGGCGAAAGCCGGAUUAAUACCGCAUACGCCCGAGAGGGGAAAGCAGGGGACCGCAAGGCCUUGCGCGAUUGGGUUGGCCGAUGUCCGAUUAGCUUGUUGGUGAGGUAAAGGCUUACCAAGGCGAUGAUCGGUAGCUGGUCUGAGAGGAUGAUCAGCCACACUGGGACUGAGACACGGCCCAGACUCCUACGGGAGGCAGCAGUGGGGAAUUUUGGACAAUGGGGGCAACCCUGAUCCAGCCAUUCCGCGUGAGUGAAGAAGGCCUUCGGGUUGUAAAGCUCUUUUGUCCGGAGCGAAACGGUGGCGGUGAAUAUCCGCCACUACUGACGGUACCGGAAGAAUAAGCACCGGCUAACUACGUGCCAGCAGCCGCCGUAAAAC